GGGCUGUGGCUCAGUGGUAGAGCAUCUGCUUUGCAUGCAGAAGGUCCCAUGUUCAAUCCCCAGCACCACCA
rnacentral:tRNA from 1 species